CUAGGUAUAGUUUAGUGGUAAAGCACAUGCUUAGCAUGCACGGGGUUUUGGGUUCAAUACUCAGUACCUCCA
rnacentral:tRNA from 1 species